rnacentral:rRNA from 1 species
CAGCCGCCGCGGUAAUACGUAGGUGGCAAGCGUUGUCCGGAAUUAUUGGGCGUAAAGGGCUCGCAGGCGGUUUCUUAAGUCUGAUGUGAAAGCCCCCGGCUCAACCUGGGAGGGUCAUUGGAAACUGGGAAACUUGAGUGCAGAAGAGGAGAGUGGAAUUCCACGUGUAGCGGUGAAAUGCGUAGAGAUGUGGAGGAACACCAGUGGCGAAGGCGACUCUCUGGUCUGUAACUGACGCUGAGGAGCGAAAGCGUGGGGAGCGAACAGGAUUAGAUACCCGCGUAGUCCCUGUCUCUUAUAC